UGGCCAAGAUGUUGAGGGCACACGGUGGAUGCCUGGGCACCAGGAGCCGAUGAAGGACGUGGGAGGCUGCGAUAAGCCUCGGGGAGCUGCCAACCGAGCGUUGAUCCGAGGGUGUCCGAAUGGGGAAACCCCGCACCAGUCAUGUGGUGUGACCCGCGCCUGAACACAUAGGGCGUGUGGAGGGAACGUGGGGAAGUGAAACAUCUCAGUACCCACAGGAAGAGAAAACAACCGUGAUUCCGUGAGUAGUGGCGAGCGAAAGCGGAUGAGGCUAAACCGUUUCCAUGUGAUACCCGGCAGGGGUUGUGGAGGCGGGGUCGUGGGACCGUGCGUGUCAGUUCUGCCGGACUGGCGGGGAGUCAGAAAAGACCGUGGUUAGGGGAAGGCCUCUGGAAGGGGUCGCCGUAGAGGGUGAGAGCCCCGUACCCGAAAGCCUGGUCUCUCUCAGUUGCGUGUUCCCAAGUAGCACCGAGCCCGUGAAAUUCGGUGUGAAUCUGGCGGGACCACCCGCUAAGCCUGAAUACUCCCUGGUGACCGAUAGCGGACGAGUACCGUGAGGGAAAGGUGAAAAGUACCCCGGGAGGGGAGUGAAAUAGUACCUGAAACCGUGUGCCUACAAGCCGUCAGAGCCGCGAAUCUCACGCCUCGUGCGUGGGCGGUGAUGGCGUGCCUUUUGAAGAAUGAGCCUGCGAGUUAGCGGUACGUGGCGAGGUUAACCCGUGGGGGGUAGCCGUAGCGAGAGCGAGUCCGAACAGGGCGAACACUAGUCGCGUGCUCUAGACCCGAAGCCGGGUGAUCUACCCAUGGCCAGGUUGAAGCGCGGGUAAGACCGCGUGGAGGACCGAACCCACCAGGGUUGAAAACCUGGGGGAUGAGCUGUGGGUAGGGGUGAAAGGCCAAUCAAACCCGGUGAUAGCUGGUUCUCCCCGAAAUGCAUUUAGGUGCAGCGUCGCGUGUUUCUUGCCGGAGGUAGAGCACUGGAUGGCCGAUGGGCCCCACAAGGUUACUGACGUCAACCAAACUCCGAAUGCCGGUAAGUGAGAGCGCGGCAGUGAGACUGCGGGCGAUAAGGUUCGUAGUCGAGAGGGAAACAGCCCAGAUCAUCGGCUAAGGCCCCUAAGCGUGUGCUAAGUGGAAAAGGAUGUGGGAUCGCAGAGACAACCAGGAGGUUGGCUUAGAAGCAGCCACCCUUGAAAGAGUGCGUAAUAGCUCACUGGUCAAGUGGUUCCGCGCCGACAAUGUAGCGGGGCUCAAGCACACCGCCGAAGCCGUGGCAUUCACGCGUCAGCCCGCCGGUUCUCCUCGUGAGGGCCGGCCAGGUGUGUGGAUGGGUAGGGGAGCGUCGUGUGGCGGGUGAAGCGGCGGAGGAAUCCAGCCGUGGACGCCACGCGAGUGAGAAUGCAGGCAUGAGUAGCGAGAGGGGAGUGAGAAACUCCCCCGCCGGAAGACCAAGGGUUCCUGGGCCAGGCUAAUCCGCCCAGGGUGAGUCGGGACCUAAGGCGAGGCCGACAGGCGUAGUCGAUGGACAACGGGUUGAUAUUCCCGUACCCGCGAAGGAACGCCCAUGCUGAACCCAGCGAUGCUGACCCACCGAAACCGCUCUCAUCUUUCGAGGUGGGGGUGGGAGUAGCUGGGGACCCGGACUGGUAGUAGGCAAGCGAUGGGGUGACGCAGGAAGGUAGUCGGGCCGGUGAGUGGUAGUACCGGUGCAAGGGUGUGGCCCGCGGCGUAGGCAAAUCCGCGCCGCACGUGGGUGAGGCCUGACGCAUAGCCGAAUGAGGCGAAUCCGAUGAUCCUAUGCUGCCGAGAAAAGCCUCUAGCGAGUUCCGAGCGGCCCGUACCCCAAACCAACUCAGGUGGUCAGGUAGAGAAUACCAAGGCGAUCGAGCGAACUGUGGUUAAGGAACUCGGCAAAAUGCCCCCGUAACUUCGGGAGAAGGGGGGCCGUUCAUCGUGAACCGCCGUGCGCGGGGCAGCGGUGGGCGGCCGCAGAGACCAGUGAGAAGCGACUGUUUACUAAAAACACAGGUCCGUGCGAAGUCGUAAGACGAUGUAUACGGACUGACGCCUGCCCGGUGCUGGAACGUUAAGGGGACGGGUUAGUCACAUCUGUGGCGAAGCUCAGAACUCAAGCGCCAGUAAACGGCGGUGGU
rnacentral:rRNA from 1 species